CUGAGUACUGUUAAGUUGGCUGUGGGAGAAUUCUCUGAAGCCAAACAUAAUUGAUAUCAGUCGUGGAUGCCUUUUAUGCUAGUAUUCUCUGUUCUUCAGUUUAUUUACUUGUUCUUCUUCCUGUUGGGAAAGAUAAAAUCCUUUUGAAGUUUAUUGUAUUGUUUUUGUUGACCACAUCAUUUGAGCACUACAGGAAAAUUGGGAAAAGGCGACCCUUUUUUGCCGACGCUAUCCACAAGCGUCGGGAAAAAAUACCCCAGGCGUCACAUAUCCUCACGCUUCAAAGAAGCGUCGGUGGCUACAUGUGUAUAAAGCAUUUCUGUUGUCCCACCUACACAUGUGAAAAUUUAUGUGUAUAAAUUGGAUAUAUAUACAUGUGUAUGCAUGCAUUUAUGUUCAUAACUCACAUGGAUGCUCUCAGAUAAGCAUAUAGAGGUGCCAUGGAUCAGGAAAUCACCAUAUAUUGAAAGAUUGGUAGAUGAGCUUGUUCUUUUGUGCAAAGAAUCUGCAGUAAGAAAGAGCCGUGAAGUUAUCCGCAAUCACAUUUUACAAUUACUGUUGUUGAUUCAGAAGUCACUUGACAGCUAGGAGUGAUGUCUACAGCUUCGGGGUUGUCCUUCUUGAGCUCUUAACAGGACGCCGGUCUGUGGACAAGAUAUUCUAUAUUUUCUGAUUGUAUCAAUCUUUUUUCUGAAUGGAACAGGCAUGGAGGCAGGGCUUAUGCUUUGUGAUUGCCAGCUUGUCCCAGGAUCACUACAGAUUGGCAUUUAUGGACGACUUUUGAAACUUAGCAUCAAGUCCUUCAAGGUGCCAGAACUUUUUGUUGAGAUUCCUCAAAAUGCUACUGUUGGUUCCUUGAAGUCGCAAGAAUUCUUUCAAUAUCUUUUAGAAUGUUUAAUGACAAUACUCGCCCGAGCAAGGAGCGGAGCAGAGCAGAGCUUAAGAAGACUCCGGUCUGUGGACAAGACUCGCCCGAGCAAGGAGCAGAGCUUGGUUGACUGGGCUCGCCCCAAGCUUAAUGACAAUAUUGUAGAGAUGAUGAUGCCGACCCUUGAUACAUAUUGUAGAUUGUGUACGUAGGAAUUUGACUUGUAUGUUUUUAGAAUGUUUUUGAAGUACAAUGUAAUCAAAUAUGAUAAUA